GACGAACGCUGGCGGCGUGCCUAACACAUGCAAGUCGAACGGGACCAGGGGCAACUCUGGUUCAGUGGCGGACGGGUGCGUAACACGUGAGGAACAUGACCUUCGGCGGGGAGUAGCCGGCCCAACGGCCGGGUAAUACCGCGUACGACCACAUGGGGACGAUCCCUCGAGUGGUGAAAGCAGCAAUGCGCCGAUGGAGUGCCUCGCGGCCUAUCAGCUAGUUGGUGAGGUAACGGCUCACCAAGGCGACGACGGGUAGCUGGUCUGAGAGGAUGGCCAGCCACAUUGGGACUGAGACACGGCCCAGACUCCUACGGGAGGCAGCAGUGGGGAAUAUUGCGCAAUGGACGAAAGUCUGACGCAGCGACGCCGCGUGUGGGAUGACGGUCUUCGG
rnacentral:rRNA from 1 species